GGUUAAGCGACUAAGCGUACACGGUGGAUGCCCUGGCAGUCAGAGGCGAUGAAGGACGUGCUAAUCUGCGAUAAGCGUCGGUGAGGUGAUAUGAACCGUUAUAACCGGCGAUUUCCGAAUGGGGAAACCCAGUGUGUUUCGACACACUAUCAUUAACUGAAUCCAUAGGUUAAUGAGGCGAACCGGGGGAACUGAAACAUCUAAGUACCCCGAGGAAAAGAAAUCAACCGAGAUUCCCCCAGUAGCGGCGAGCGAACGGGGAGGAGCCCAGAGCCUGAAUCAGUGUGUGUGUUAGUGGAAGCGUCUGGAAAGGCGUGCGAUACAGGGUGACAGCCCCGUACACAAAAAUGCACAUAUUGUGAGCUCGAUGAGUAGGGCGGGACACGUGGUAUCCUGUCUGAAUAUGGGGGGACCAUCCUCCAAGGCUAAAUACUCCUGACUGACCGAUAGUGAACCAGUACCGUGAGGGAAAGGCGAAAAGAACCCCGGCGAGGGGAGUGAAAAAGAACCUGAAACCGUGUACGUACAAGCAGUGGGAGCCUCUUAAUGGGGUGACUGCGUACCUUUUGUAUAAUGGGUCAGCGACUUAUAUUCUGUAGCAAGGUUAACCGAAUAGGGGAGCCGAAGGGAAACCGAGUCUUAACUGGGCGUUAAGUUGCAGGGUAUAGACCCGAAACCCGGUGAUCUAGCCAUGGGCAGGUUGAAGGUUGGGUAACACUAACUGGAGGACCGAACCGACUAAUGUUGAAAAAUUAGCGGAUGACUUGUGGCUGGGGGUGAAAGGCCAAUCAAACCGGGAGAUAGCUGGUUCUCCCCGAAAGCUAUUUAGGUAGCGCCUCGUGAAUUCAUCUCCGGGGGUAGAGCACUGUUUCGGCAAGGGGGUCAUCCCGACUUACCAACCCGAUGCAAACUGCGAAUACCGGAGAAUGUUAUCACGGGAGACACACGGCGGGUGCUAACGUCCGUCGUGAAGAGGGAAACAACCCAGACCGCCAGCUAAGGUCCCAAAGUCAUGGUUAAGUGGGAAACGAUGUGGGAAGGCCCAGACAGCCAGGAUGUUGGCUUAGAAGCAGCCAUCAUUUAAAGAAAGCGUAAUAGCUCACUGGUCGAGUCGGCCUGCGCGGAAGAUGUAACGGGGCUAAACCAUGCACCGAAGCUGCGGCAGCGACACUAUGUGUUGUUGGGUAGGGGAGCGUUCUGUAAGCCUGUGAA
rnacentral:rRNA from 1 species